rnacentral:rRNA from 1 species
AACGAACGCUGGCGGCAUGCCUAACACAUGCAAGUCGAACGAUGCCUUCGGGCAUAGUGGCGCACGGGUGCGUAACGCGUGGGAAUCUGCCCUUCGGUUCGGAAUAACUCAGGGAAACUUGAGCUAAUACCGGAUAACGUCGCAAGACCAAAGAUUUAUCACCGAAAGAUGAGCCCGCGUAGGAUUAGCUAGUUGGUGAGGUAAAGGCUCACCAAGGCGACGAUCCUUAGCUGGUCUGAGAGGAUGAUCAGCCACACUGGGACUGAGACACGGCCCAGACUCCUACGGGAGGCAGCAGUGGGGAAUAUUGGACAAUGGGCGAAAGCCUGAUCCAGCAAUGCCGCGUGAGUGAUGAAGGCCUUAGGGUUGUAAAGCUCUUUUACCCGGGAAGAUAAUGACGGUACCGGGAGAAUAAGCCCCGGCUAACUCCGUG